ensembl:snRNA U6 U6 spliceosomal RNA
GUGCUUGCUUCAGCAGCACGUAUACUAAAAUUGCAACGAUACGCAGAGGAUUAGCACAGCGCCUGUGCAAGGAUGACAAAUUCUCAAGGUGUUCCAUAUUUUU